rnacentral:rRNA from 1 species
UACGAAGGGGGCUAGCGUUGCUCGGAAUCACUGGGCGUAAAGCGCACGUAGGCGGGUCGUUAAGUCAGGGGUGAAAUCCUGGAGCUCAACUCCAGAACUGCCCUUGAUACUGGCGAUCUCGAGUUCGGGAGAGGUGAGUGGAAUUCCUGGUGUAGCGGUGAAAUGCGCAGAUAUCAGGAAGAACACCCGUGGCUAAGGCGGCUCUCUAGUACGGUACUGACGCUGAGACGCGAAAGCGUGGGGAGCAAACAGG